CCGACCCGAUGUUUAUUGACAUCGACGUCGGGAGGGGGAGAGAGAAAGAGAGUCCACGCCAACGAAUCGCCGAGACGUAACGAAUCGAAUCUCUGUGUGUUCUCCUCCGACGGACGGGUGGUGGCGAUUGUUCGGAGGAAGUGAUGAUAACGAGAUCGAAUCUAGCGGAACAGCUCAGAGAAUAUCAGAUUAGGUCAAAGCAUGAUUGGGCCUCCGUAUCCUUCUUCUCUUCCGCCUCCAAUUUCUCGUCCUCAAGGGUCGAUGUGGUAGUCUUUGUCAUUUGGGAGCUAGUGAUCUUAGCAUUCCUCGUGUUCUCAGCAGUCUCCCUCUACUUCAAGCGGUUGGAACUCGCAUUCAUCCUCGUUUGCGUCACUUUACUAUUACUCCUCUGCAUGAAAAUCACAAAGCAAGUGAGAGUUGCUAGGAAGAAGAAGCGGAGGAUGCUUCUUCCUCUCUCUAUGUAAAACCCACCAGCAAAAAUCGUUAACCCGAACUGUCCCCUGCUGGCAUGAACCCCAUCAUUAAGCAUCGAUGACAGUUGAGAUCAGACUUGUCUCUGAAUCGUUUGCAGGAUUUCACGUGAAGUAGGAGAAAACAAAGAACACUCAUGAAAGUUAAAGAGAGAACUACACAGAAAAUGAAAGUACCAAGCAACUUGCUCUAAAGAGCUCACAUGUUUCUAUCCACCACCACUAACAUCUUUCCUUUCCCCUCUGUAAGCCGGUUCCAAGUGUGGUUAAGUUAAGUAUCUUGAAUUAUACUUAGUGUUACGGUCUGUUAAUACACUAGUUUUGCUGGA